rnacentral:pre_miRNA from 1 species
UGUUAAAAAUUCCAUCUAUUUGUUUUGUUGAAAACUAGCAUGACUGAUGAAAUAAUCAAAUAGUGACACGUGGUCUGCCAUGUAUAUCUCAUGUUGACGUACAAUGACCAAUUUUUAACAGUAAAAAAUAAAUAGAAUUUUUAGAA